rnacentral:rRNA from 1 species
AGAGUUCGAUCCUGGCUCAGGAUGAACGCUGGCGGCGCGCCUAACACAUGCAAGUCGAACGGUUAAAGCCCCUUCGGGGGUGCAUAGAGUGGCGAACGGCUGAGUAACACGUGGGCAACCUGCCCCCCGCACCGGGACAGCCUCGGGAAACCGUGGUUAAUACCGGAUACUCCGCCACCCCCGCAUGGGGGCGGCGGGAAAGCCCAGGCGGAGGGGGAUGGGCCCGCGGCCUGUUAGCUCGUUGGCGGGGUAACGGCCCACCAAGGCGAUGAUGGGUAGCCGGGUUGAGAGACCGACCGGCCAGAUUGGGACUGAGACACGGCCCAGACUCCUACGGGAGGCAGCAGUGGGGAAUCUUGCACAAUGGGCGAAAGCCUGAUGCAGCGACGCCGCGUGCGGGACGAAGGCCUUCGGGUCGUAAACCGCUUUCAGCAGGGACGAGGCCGCGAGGUGACGGUACCUGCAGAAGAAGCCCCGGCUAACUACGUGCCAGCAGCCGCGGUAAUACGUAGGGGGCGAGCGUUAUCCGGAUUCAUUGGGCGUAAAGCGCGCGCAGGCGGCCUGCUCGGUCGGGAGUCAAAUCCGGGGGCUCAACCCCCGCCCGCUCCCGAUACCGGCGGGCUUGAGUCUGGUAGGGGAAGGCGGAAUUCCCAGUGUAGCGGUGGAAUGCGCAGAUAUUGGGAAGAACACCGGUGGCGAAGGCGGCCUUCUGGGCCACGACUGACGCUGAGGCGCGAAAGCUAGGGGAGCGAACAGGAUUAGAUACCCUGGUAGUCCUAGCCGUAAACGAUGGACACUAGGUGUGGGGGGAGGAUCCCUCCGUGCCGCAGCCAACGCAUUAAGUGUCCCGCCUGGGGAGUACGGCCGCAAGGCUAAAACUCAAAG